GGGACCACCACAUAUGUUCCUCUC
rnacentral:siRNA from 1 species